rnacentral:rRNA from 1 species
AUUGAACGCUGGCGGCAGGCCUAACCCAUGCAAGUCGAGCGAGCGGCGGACGGGUGAGUAAUGUCUGGGGAUCUGCCCGAUAGAGGGGGAUAACUACUGGAAACGGUUGCUAAUACCGCAUACCAUCGGAUGUACCCAUAUGGGAUUAGCUAGUAGGUGGGGUAAAGGCUCACCUAGGCGACGAUCGCUAGCUGGUCUGAGAGGAUGACCAUCCACACUGGGACGGAGACACGGCCCAGAUUCCGACGGGAGGCAGCAGUGGGGAAUAUUGCACAAUGGGCGCAAGCCUGAUGCAGCCAUGCCGCGUGUGUGAAGAAGGCCUUCGGGUUGUAAAGCACUUUCAGCGAGGAGGCGUUACUCGCAGAAGAAGCACCGGCUAACUCCGUGCCAGCAGCCGCGGUAAUAC